rnacentral:lncRNA from 1 species
AAAACAACUUCUUAUAGUGAAUUUUUGGGGAGGCCUUAAUUUGAUUGUUUAGGGCGUCAGCCUUAUAUAAACUAUUUCCUUGUUUCGCUGCUUACCCAUUUGUAGGAAACAAACAUUGCCUUGUCAUUUGCUCUUUUUCUACUUCUUUCUUGCUCUCUCUACUCUAGGGGUUUUGGGGGGGUUUAACCUGACCUUGUCCNNNNNNNNNNNNNNNNNNNNUAAUUAAUUAUAUAUUACUAUACACAAGUAAUUCGUACAAAGCUAUAUACUAUAAUAUUAUGUAAUUAAUAUGUAUUUUCUCAAAAAAAUGUAUUAUUAUAUAUAUUUUUUGAUAAGUAAAGAAUAUAAUGUAUUAUUAUAUAUAAUGUAUUAUUAUAUAGAGCAAUGAUUUCAUGCAACCGUUGUAUAGUAAUAUGAUGCAAUAACUUUAAAAAACCAUCUUAUGGCCAUUUGUUUGAUCCAAAUUUUGAAAUAUACACUCUUUUCAUUCUAAUGAACAAUCACAAAAAAAAGAAAAAAUUGAAAACACAACCUAGAAAGUAUUUUUUUAACUCAAUUAACAUAAACCGUUCAUUUUGGUGAGAUGCUUAGAUCUAGACCUUAAAAGGAUUUUUUUCAUUUUCAAUGUUUUUGGAUAGCUUUAUUAUCAUUAGAUGAACAAUGUUAAAAAAGGGAAAAAUGAUUUUGAGUUUAUAAAGGCUAAGAUAUUGAAAUUCACAAAAUAAAUGGUCUUGAUUCAUUUUUGGAGGGGACUCAUUUUGACGAUAUCUAGGGUUCAAAUUGAACCUUUUUUUCUUUUUUGGGCAUAAUUAUUGAGAUGAGGAGAGUGGGUGUGCAAAAUUUGGGGUCAUACAAAUAUCACAAAUAUGGUUUUUUAGAAAUGGCGUUACAUUAUACUAUGAUCCAACCGUUGUAUUGGAUCAUUGCUCUAUUAUAUAUUAUAUAAUAUUACAACAUUAUAUUAUAGUAUAGUAUAUAAUUUUCAAAAAAACCAUCUUCCAAGCAAUCCCAAUGGCUGAUAGGUAUCUUUUAGGUCUUUUACGAGAUACUAAUUCUAUAACGUUGAGGCACCUCUAAAUAAUCUUGAAAGAUAAUUUUUCAAAAGCAAAAAUCUUUGUGAUGGGCUAAAAAUAUAUUUUCAUAUCUAAUUAUGAAACUAACUGCUUAAAAAAUAAUGUAAAUCAAGUAGAUUUAUAAGUAUUUGGAAAUAUUAAAAAUUAUUGGUCCAAAUAAUGCAUUACAAGAUGCACUAUCUUUCAAAUAUAAAUUUUUUUUUAUAUAUAUACAUCUCAAGGUUGUGAUGAUUGGUUGAUAUUUUUUGGACAUCAAAACAACUUCUUAUAGUGAAUUUUUGGGGAGGCCUUAAUUUGAUUGUUUAGGGCGUCAGCGAUAUAUAAACUAUUUCCUUUUUUCGCUGCUUACCCAUUUGUAGGAAACAAACAUUGCCUUGUCAUUUGCUCUUUUUCUACUUCUUUCUUGCUCUCUCUACUCUAGGGGUUUUGGGGGGGUUUAACCUGACCUUGUCUGAGCCCUUCUCCCUCCUCUGUGACUCUGUGGAGUUUAAUGAAGGGUUUCAGAAUGAUUUAAGCUAGCGGGCUAUGUCCUUAACUGGCAUGGC